GUAGCAAAGGUCGGGGCCGAGCAGAACGUCUCAUCUGGCUACGCCCGUAGAAUGCGUGCAAUCUCAGCGAUGGACGGGGGUUCAAUUCCCCCCAUCUCCACCA
rnacentral:tRNA from 2 species